UACGAAGGGGGCUAGCGUUGUUCGGAAUCACUGGGCGUAAAGGGCGCGUAGGCGGCUUUAUAAGUCGGGGGUGAAAGCCUGUGGCUCAACCACAGAAUUGCCUUCGAUACUGUAGAGCUUGAGUCCGGAAGAGGUAAGUGGAACUGCGAGUGUAGAGGUGAAAUUCGUAGAUAUUCGCAAGAACACCAGUGGCGAAGGCGGCUCACUGGCCCGAUACUGACGCUGAGGCACGAAAGCGUGGGGAGCAAACAGG
rnacentral:rRNA from 1 species